rnacentral:rRNA from 1 species
GACGAACGCUGGCGGCGUGCUUAACACAUGCAAGUCGAACGGUGACCCAGGGCUUGCCCUGGUGAUCAGUGGCGAACGGGUGAGUAACACGUGGGCAACCUGCCCCCUGACUUCGGGAUAACUCCUCGAAAGAGGAGCUAAUACCGGAUACGACCACUUCGGACAUCCGAUGGUGGUGGAAAGUUCUUCGGUCAGGGAUGGGCCCGCGGCCUAUCAGCUAGUUGGUGGGGUAAUGGCCUACCAAGGCGACGACGGGUAGCCGGCCUGAGAGGGCGACCGGCCACACUGGGACUGAGACACGGCCCAGACUCCUACGGGAGGCAGCAGUGGGGAAUAUUGCGCAAUGGGCGAAAGCCUGACGCAGCGACGCCGCGUGAGGGAUGAAGGCCUUCGGGUUGUAAACCGUCUUCUAGCAGGGACGAAGCGAAAGUGACGGUACCUGCAGAAGAAGCACCGGCUAACUACGUGCCAGCAGCCGCGG